UACGUAGGUGGCAAGCGUGUCCGGAAUUAUUGGGCGUAAAGCGCGCGCAGGCGGUCCUUUAAGUCUGAUGUGAAAGCCCACGGCUCAACCGUGGAGGGUCAUUGGAAACUGGGGGACUUGAGUGCAGAAGAGGAGAGUGGAAUUCCACGUGUAGCGGUGAAAUGCGUAGAGAUGUGGAGGAACACCAGUGGCGAAGGCGACUCUCUGGGCCGAUACUGACGCUGAGGAGCGAAAGCAU
rnacentral:rRNA from 1 species